UACGUAGGGGGCAAGCGUUGUCCGGAUUUAUUGGGCGUAAAGAGCGUGUAGGCGGCCAGGUAGGUCGGUUGUGAAAACUGGAGGCUCAACCUUCAGAGGUCGACCGAAACCAUCUGGCUAGAGUCCGGGAGAGGAGAGUGGAAUUCCUGGUGUAGGGGUGAAAUGUGCAGAUAUCAGGAAGAACACCCGUGGCGGAAGCGGCUCUCUGGAACGGUACUGACGCCGAGACGCGAAAGCGUGGGGAGCGAACAGG
rnacentral:rRNA from 1 species